rnacentral:rRNA from 1 species
GUCUUUUAAUUGAAGGCUAGUAUGAAUGGUUGGAUGAGAAAUAUACUUUCUUUAUUUUAUAUAAAAAAAUUAAUUUUUUAGUUAAAAAGCUAAGAUUUUUUUAUAGGACGAGAAGACCCUAUAGAACUUUAUUUAUUUUUUUGUAUAAACUUUUUGGAUUUUUAUAAGAUUAUAUAUUAAUAUUAAUUUAAUUGGGGUGAUGGAAAAAAUUAUAUAACUUUUUCUAUUUUUUACAUUUAUUUAUGUAUAAUUGAUCCUUUAAUAUGGAUAAUAAGAUUAAGUUACCUUAGGGAUAACAGCGUUAUUUUUUUGGAGAGUUCUUAUCGAUAAAAUAGUUUGCGACCUCGAUGUUGGAUUAAAAUAAGUAUCAGGGGUAGAAUAUUGAUUACUAGGUCUGUUCGACCUUUAAAUUUUUACA